AUUUUUCUUCUGUUAUUCCGUGAAUAGACAGUGUUAAAUACAUAGAUAAGAUCAAAGCUAAACUAUAUGAUACAAAUAGCAACAUCUAAUCAUCAAAUUACCCAAUAAUCGGAAAUAAUAAAUGGAAAAUUUUGAUGCAGGCAAAUAUUUCUCGGGAAGUCUACGUGGGACCCGGCACCGUUUCCCACUCUAUCAGUCCAGCUAACAUUUCCCGACCUGUUUCGUGUCUCGUUGGCACUCUCUGAACCAUA
rnacentral:misc_RNA from 1 species